UGUUCUAGGUAUAAGCAAUCUAUACGGUGAACUGCGAAUGGCUCAUUAAAUCAGUUAUCGUUUAUUUGAUAGUACCUUACUACUUGGAUAACCGUGGUAAUUCUAGAGCUAAUACAUGCUAAAAACCCCGACUUACGAAGGGGUGUAUUUAUUAGAUAAAAAACCAAUGCCCUUCGGGGCUCCUUGGUGAUUCAUAAUAACUUAACGAAUCGCAUGGCCUUGUGCCGGCGAUGGUUCAUUCAAAUUUCUGCCCUAUCAACUUUCGAUGGUAGAGUAGUGGUCUACCAUGGUUUCAACGGGUAACGGGGAAUUAGGGUUCUAUUCCGGAGAGGGAGCCUGAGAAACGGCUACCACAUCCAAGGAAGGCAGCAGGCGCGCAAAUUACCCAAUCCCGACACGGGGAGGUAGUGACAAUAAAUACUGAUACAGGGCUCUUUUGGGUCUUGUAAUUGGAAUGAGUACAAUUUAAAUCCCUUAACGAGGAACAAUUGGAGGGCAAGUCUGGUGCCAGCAGCCGCGGUAAUUCCAGCUCCAAUAGCGUAUAUUAAAGUUGUUGCAGUUAAAAAGCUCGUAGUUGAACCUUGGGCCUGGCUGGCCGGUCCGCCUCACCGCGUGCACUGGUCCGGCCGGGUCUUUCCUCCUGGGGAGCUGCAUGCCCUUCACUGGGUGUGUCAGGGAACCAGGACUUUUACUUUGAAAAAAUUAGAGUGUUCAAAGCAGGCCUAUGCUCGAAUACAUUAGCAUGGAAUAAUAGAAUAGGACGUGUGGUUCUAUUUUGUUGGUUUCUAGGACCGCCGUAAUGAUUAAUAGGGAUAGUCGGGGGCAUCAGUAUUCAAUUGUCAGAGGUGAAAUUCUUGGAUUUAUUGAAGACUAACUACUGCGAAAGCAUUUGCCAAGGAUGUUUUCAUUAAUCAGUGAACGAAA
rnacentral:rRNA from 1 species